rnacentral:pre_miRNA from 1 species
GAGACACCCUAUGGGGCAGGACUUGCUUCAGUGGGGCUUUGGCGCUCACUGAGUCUGCCCCCUGAUUGUGUCUCU